CGGCAAAAGCUCAAAUUUGAAAUCUGGCCCUUUCAGGGUCCGAGUUGUAAUUUGCAGAGGAUGCUUCGGGUGCGGCCGCGGCGUAAGUUCCUUGGAACAGGGCGUCAUAGAGGGUGAGAAUCCCGUCUUGAGUCGCUGGCCCGCGCCCGUAAGAAGCUCCUUCGA
rnacentral:rRNA from 1 species